CGGGCCUUGUACACACCGCCCGUCACGCCAUGAGAGUUAUUUGUACCCAAGUUACUUUAGCUAACCCGUAAGGGAGGCGUGUACCUAAGGUAUGGGUGAUGAUCGGGGUG
rnacentral:rRNA from 1 species